rnacentral:lncRNA from 1 species
CUCAGCAGAUGCUCCUCUGGAUAAACAGUGAGAACAGAGAACAAAAGCACAAAGUCAACUGGCCUUUUCUUUUCUGAGCUUUCUACCAGCUGAUCCCACUUCCUGUUUCUCUAAGGGCUUCCCUGACAGGCAACUUAUUUCAUAUUUGGUCACUGCCCGCUUGCCUUCCUGGGUGAGUCAGUGCUGCUGACCUUGUACCCUUCAAGCUCCAAGGCUCCAGUGUGCACUCUGCCCAUUUCCUGAUCUUCCCAGGUGACACUCCCCUCCCCCGACACUGAACAGAGAAAGCGUCCCGCCCACAGCCCACAGCCCACAGUCCUCUGCCUCUGAGACAGACAUGCAUGCACUGGGGACGUGAGUCACGGCAUUCACCCAUCUGAAGCUAUUAUUGGAAUGGCUGUGCACGCCGUGCACGCCUGCUUCCCGUAUUCUACAGGCCAGGGCUCCAGGAGCUGCUAACCACACACUGCUCUGCCCGAGAUGCCACUUGGAUGAUCACGAGGUGGUUGCUUGGAAAGGGUGAAUGCUUCCAAGAAAGCAGGCAAAAGGACAAUAUCAACAAUGACAGGAUAGAACCUAGAGGCCUGUGCAUAUUAGACAAGUGUUCUUACAGCUGAGUUAUAUCCCCAGAAAAUCACAUUAUUUUAAGGUACCUUUCCCCCUAUCCCUCAUCCUUUGGC